rnacentral:ncRNA from 10 species
AUCGUUCAACCCAUAUGGGUCGGAAGUAAGCAUCGCUGAAGGAACGCGCA